GUCCUUUUUUCAUUCAUCUUGAGACAGGGUCCUAAUAAGUUGCUAAGUUGUCUGGGCUGGGUUCAAACUUUUGAUUCUUCUGCCUCACCUUUUCACAGUGCUGGGAAUAUAGUCAUGUGCCACCAUGCCAGGCACACAUGGCUUUUCUAUCUAUAAUGCUCAUGGCAAGUCAAUGCUGAGAGUCAGGAUCUAGGUCCUUUGAUCCUAAGGCAUUCCUUCUGCAGUGUGCUUUCUUCAUCAGAUUUAGCACUGACUCAGCACACUCCUUUCUCUGUCUCUGACUCUCCACGAUCAUUUUAGAAGAGACCUGUCUCACUCUUUCUUAAGAAUCAUAUCAGGACUCAUAUCAUAUAAGACUUAUAUCAGAGGCAGUGGAUUUAGCUCAGUGGUUCCGGCACCUGCCUUGCAAGCAUAAGGUCCCGAGUUUGAUCCCUGGUACCAAAAAAAAAAAAAAAGACAUAUCAUAUAAGACUCAUAUGAUACCCCUCUACCCCAUGAUGCCAAAUUAAG
rnacentral:lncRNA from 1 species